CCUACGGGUGGCUGCAGUGGGGAAUAUUGGACAAUGGGGGCAACCCUGAUCCAGCCAUGCCGCGUGUGUGAAGAAGGCCCUCGGGUUGUAAAGCACUUUCAGUGAGGAAGAACGCCUGGUGGUUAAUACCCAUCAGGAAAGACAUCACUCACAGAAGAAGCACCGGCUAACUCCGUGCCAGCAGCCGCGGUAAUACGGAGGGUGCGAGCGUUAAUCGGAAUUACUGGGCGUAAAGCGCGCGUAGGUGGCUUGAUAAGCCGGUUGUGAAAGCCCCGGGCUCAACCUGGGAACGGCAUCCGGAACUGUCAAGCUAGAGUGCAGGAGAGGAAGGUAGAAUUCCCGGUGUAGCGGUGAAAUGCGUAGGGAUCGGGAGGAAUACCCGUGGCGAAGGCGGCCUUCUGGACUGACACUGACACUGAGGUGCGAAAGCGUGGGUAGCAAACAGGAUUAGAUACCCUGGUAGUC
rnacentral:rRNA from 1 species